AUUGAACGCUGGCGGCAGGCUUAACACAUGCAAGUCGAGCGGGGAAAGGUAGCUUGCUACCUGACCUAGCGGCGGACGGGUGAGUAAUGCUUAGGAAUCUGCCUAUUAGUGGGGGACAACAUCUCGAAAGGGAUGCUAAUACCGCAUACGUCCUACGGGAGAAAGCAGGGGACCUUCGGGCCUUGCGCUAAUAGAUGAGCCUAAGUCGGAUUAGCUAGUUGGUGGGGUAAAGGCCUACCAAGGCGACGAUCUGUAGCGGGUCUGAGAGGAUGAUCCGCCACACUGGGACUGAGACACGGCCCAGACUCCUACGGGAGGCAGCAGUGGGGAAUAUUGGACAAUGGGGGGAACCCUGAUCCGGCCAUGCCGCGUGUGUUAAGAAGGCCUUUUGGUUGUAAAGCACUUUAAGCGAGGAGGAGGCUACCGAGAUUAAUACUCUUGGAUAGUGGACGUUACUCGCAGAAUAAGCACCGGCUAACUCUGUG
rnacentral:rRNA from 1 species